rnacentral:rRNA from 1 species
GACGAACGCUGGCGGCGUGCUUAACACAUGCAAGUCGAACGAAGAGCGAUGGAAGCUUGCUUCUAUCAAUCUUAGUGGCGAACGGGUGAGUAACGCGUAAUCAACCUGCCCUUCAGAGGGGGACAACAGUUGGAAACGACUGCUCAUACCGCAUACGAUCCAAUCUCGGCAUCGGGACUGGAUGAAAGGUGGCCUCUAUUUAUAAGCUAUCACUGAAGGAGGGGAUUGCGUCUGAUUAGCUAGUUGGAGGGGUAACGGCCCACCAAGGCGAUGAUCAGUAGCCGGUCUGAGAGGAUGAACGGCCACAUUGGGACUGAGACACGGCCCAGACUCCUACGGGAGGCAGCAGUGGGGAAUCUUCCGCAAUGGGCGAAAGUCUGACGGAGCAACGCCGCGUGAGUGAUGACGGCCGUCGGGUUGUAAAGCUCUGUUAAUCGGGACGAAUGGUUCUUGUGCGAAUAGUGCGAGGAUUUGACGGUACCGGAAGAGAAAGCCACGGCUAACUACGUG